UAAGUUCGGUUUUAUAUCGUUGUUAUAUUGAUUGACGAGGAUGUUUUUCCUUUCGGGUUUUUUAUGUUUAUUUUUACUGGUUUGUUGUUUGUUAGUUGUUUGUUUUUAUUUUCGGCAUGAGGUUUGGUUAUUUUUGUGCUUAUGUUGUGCUAUCGAGGUAAGAAAGGGGUCGAUGAGCAAUGGGUCGGCAAAUGCCUGGUAUUAUAGGUUCUUUGAAGGUUGGAUAAAAGAAUGAAACAUGGACUGCUAAUUUGCUUGGUGGUGUUUUUCAGAUUUUGGGAGAUUGGGUGUAGGUUCUUGCUAUGUGUAACAUAGCUGAAACUGUUUUUUUUUUCUUCUUCCCUGGAACGGAACGCCGGACUUUACCAUCCUACACUCAGUGUGAGUGAAAUCAGCUCAUGCUUCUCGGUGUAGCAGCUCAGAGUGCACGGCCUGGCCGGCGUGGGGGUUUGGUGGCCACGUGGUGUUGGCCGGUGGUUGUGCAGAGAGUUGGUAGAAUUGCCGUUUGGUGGUGCCUGGUAUUGGUUGAACUGUGGUUCCCAUACAGGUGAACGGUUACUGGCGUAAGGUGUGCCAGGUGGGCGUACCCCGUGGAGAAUGAGCUGCUGGUGAUGUUGGCUCUGUCCGAGCGUGUCCGAGCGGGGUUUUCAUUAGUGGGUUAGGGAUUGUUGAUAAGGGUACCAACUACCAGGUGAGACUUGAGAGGGUAAAUGGAGUUCAUGCUAAUGAUACCCAAUGCAAUGGUAUUGGUCUAAAAUGGUAUUGUUACCUGGUUAGGUUGGAGUGAAAGGUUAAGUGGGUGAUAUAGGUACGGAGGUGCAGAGGUGAUAGUGGAAACCACUUGUGUGGUAAGUCUCGGGAGUCGGGACUAGGAUAUUUUAGAUUAGAUGGGAAAUUAUGUUAGGUAGUUUGGAUGCACUGGCGAUAAUAUAGUAAGUUACAGGAUAGUACCCAAAGGAAGUUUUCACCCUCAUAUUUAAAGACUGCAUUAGGUAUGCCAUUUUCUAUAACGAUGCAGUUUUAUGGUAGCCCGUGAUUGUUUUGCUCUCACUCUACAUUGAGGUGCGAGUUAACUGUUUUCAGUUUUUUUUAUGGUAGUGGCGUUUGUGAAUCGUUUUUUUUUUUUGCCAGAGUAAGGUGCCUUUUUGUCGUGGUCAAUAAAUAGAGCAUUGCCUAGGCAUGCAUAAGCGACAUCAAUCAUCAUGGUAAUGUUGGUAUGCAAUAUGCAUAUCCUGCCGAUGUGUCAUCGCGCGCAUUGUCAGAUAAAUGGCUCCAGUAUGUAUAAUCCCUCCCGAUACCCUCCUUUGAUACGAGCUUUCGGCUAAAAAUGGUUAUGUGACACAAUCCGUUUUUUUCUUCCAUGGCUUGGUGGGUGGUUGGCAUCCGACUCUGAACGGCGACGGAUCGGCACACUCGGCGGGGCCGGCCCGCUGGGCCAGAGUCUUCUUUGGCCGCUGGAGGAUUUCUUCACAGCUCCCGCGUCAGCUGAGGGAGUUCCGACCCCUCCCAGCUCAUCUAGCUCCAGUGGUGCUGCCCGUGCUGCCUAGCAGGUCUUACGGGACAUCGUCAGGUAUAGGCCAAGGUGGCCGGGGUUUUGAAAGGUACGUUGUUCCAUGUAUGCCGGGCCCGGUACAUAUCUGUUAAUGGAGGUUCUAGGGGGACCCGAUAGGGUAGAUAGUGAACGCUUGGGCAUGGGCGAUAUCGGCAUUUUUGUGGGGAUAUUUGGUUCCACCAAUAGGAACAUGAGGGGCAAUGCUGGUGGAAAGUAAGAUAGUAAUAAAAUUCUGAUAAAAUCGUUACGAGGCCUGAAGGUAUUAAAAAAAAAAUGAAAUCUAGUCAACUCUAAGUUCAACGUGUUUUCAACCUUGGUUUGCUGCUGCUGCUGAGGCUUGUUAAAUCGUCUAUAACUAUAUUCAAAGCAGUCUGUUUCUUUGAUUUUUUUUUUCUACUUGUCGCUAUAGGAUAUGGGAUGACCUUUCUCCUGCAAUCAGCAAAUGAACAAUACAGGUCAGGUGCUAUCAAUAAUAGGUAAAAAGGAUUUAGUCAGUAUACGUUGUUAGGACUGGGGUACCCCUCGGUGUCCCUAAAUUGUAUUUUGGCUGGGGUGUCUGAGGAAAAUUCCUGGGGGCCCGGGAACGAUUUUCAAGUUGGGGGGGGGGGGGAGGCGAGCCUAAAAUACCUGACUUGAUGCAUAUGAAACAGUGGCGUAGCUAGGGGUCUAAGGGAACACGCACUCCCCCCCCCCCAAUCGGGUUCACAGGGACCCUCGGGUCCGGGGGGCCCUGCGGCACCAUUUGAUCUGAGGCUUAACGAUGGCCAUAUUUCGACUCGGGAGGGCCCCAUUCGUCUCGUUAGAGCACCGCAUGGGCCCUAAAUUGCCACACUAAGAUCUCCUUAAGGCCCCACUCCGGCCUCUGAGUCAUGGUCCCACAAUUAUUUUUCUGAGGGCCCAAUAACGGCAACUGUGGGGGCCCUCAUCGGCGCUUAUGAGGACCCACACCGGUGUCUCUGAGGGUUUCACGCCUCCAACUCUGAGUGCCUACACCAGUGCCUAUUAAAGCCCUAUAUCGGCGGCUCUGAGAGUGAGGACUCGAAUCCCUACCAAACACCUGCGCAGUGCGCAUCUAGGGACCACCCACUAGUGACUUCUGAGGGCCCCACACCGGUGACAGGGGCCUCUUGCCGGUCACUGAGAACCCCCUGCCGGCUUGUAGAGGGUUCGCGUCAGCAGCUCAGGUCCCACACCAGUCUGUAACUGCUCCACACCAGCGUCUAUGAGGGCCCACAGCAACGCCUGUAGGACCCUCACCGGCGCCUCUGAGAGAGUCACACUGGUGCCUCUCAGCGCCCGCACCGGCACCUGCAUGACAGUCCCACACCGGUGCCUCUACGGGCCCCUUACCGGCGGCUCUAAGGGCCCUACGCCGGUGAUUCUGAGGAUGCUACCGAUAACCGGAGGCGCCAUACAGGCCCAAGGUGUCGCUGAGCUUUAAUCCCUACCGGCCUUCCGUGGGCGCCACGUCAGUGCACUCAUUGCCCCACACCCCUCCCUCACACCCGGAGCGGGUAAACUGUGUUAUACCUAUAGCAACGAUUUUACCACCGUUGUACGUUAUGUAUUUCUCAGGGUUGGCUCAAAAUGGUCCAGUAUAUGUAUGUAAAAGCUGACCUGCCAAACUACCAAUCAAUCAGGCCCAAACCAGUGGGAUGACAAUAGCAGAUAUCAAAUCGAUACUGUAUCGGCAGAAACCAUUCAGAUGGCAAGGAAAGGCCGUGUCCUGAUAAGAUAUAUAAAGGAAACAAGAAGGAAAGAAGUCCGGAAAAGGGAGGAAAGGUCCUUUCUCUCUGCCUCAAUGUUGAGGGGGCGACGCCCCCACGGCUCAAGUUGGGGGGGGGGCAAGCACCCCCGCUGCCCCCCCCUGUUCCCGGGUCUAUGAAAAUUUCUCACCAAAAAGGAAUAGUGUGGGGUGGAAAAUUGAUGGUCAAAUAAGGCCUAAAAAGAGUGAAAAAGGAUGCGCGGCAAAAUUUCAUAAAAGGCUGGUAUAAUGUGGGAAGUAAAAUGGCUAUCCAUCCAUGCGAACGCUUUUUCUGGGUAAAAAUGGGAGUGGAAAAUGGGCUAUUAAAAAUUGGAGGCGAGUGAACAGUGAUUUUCAUUUGGGUGACGUUUCCCAUGCCUUAAUCAACAAAUUUUUGGGCACUGGUACCCCUCGCCAGCAUCAGGGUUGACGUCACUCACUCAGUACUGACUGAGUGUUGAGCUGUCCAGAUGGUCGCAGCUCGGUUGUGGCCGCCUUGGCCGUGUUUUUUUGGCGAUCUAGUGCAACCGUCGCAGAGCAAAGGGAGUAUGAAAUUCAGUUUUUUUUUGUGGGUUCUUUCGCUAAGAAGUAUUUUUCAAUAAUUAAUGUGUGUUCUGUAUGCAAUAUUGCUUUUGCAAGGACGUUGAUUGUUUUUUAUACUUUGAUGGCUGAUAAAGUUCGUAUGCAAUUUGUUAAUAAUGGAGGGGUUGGUGGGAUGCCUAACUGGUCCGGGUGUAUGGUUAGUAAGAGGUGGAAAGUGGGCUAGUUGCGGAGUUAUUUGGAGUGGUUUAUGGCUGGGUAUGGUUUAUUUCCAGUUAAAAUAUUAAUUUGUUCUGGGAGGGGUAGGUUAAAAAAAAACUCAUCGGUUACAACUCAUCAUUUACAAACUAGGGGUCUUAUUGUUUUCUUCUCUUAGAUCGCUGGACUUAGCCGUUCCACACUCUGUAUGGGUGAAUUCAGCUCAUUUUUU